rnacentral:rRNA from 1 species
CGGUGAAGCCCAGCUUGCUGGGCGGAUCAGUGGCGAACGGGUGAGUAACACGUGAGCAACCUGCCCCUCACUUCGGGAUAAGCCUUGGAAACGGGGUCUAAUACCGGAUAUGAGCGCCUACCGCAUGGUGGGUGUUGGAAAGUUUUUCGGUGGGGGAUGGGCUCGCGGCCUAUCAGCUUGUUGGUGGGGUGAUGGCCUACCAAGGCGUCGACGGGUAGCCGGCCUGAGAGGGCGACCGGCCACACUGGGACUGAGACACGGCCCAGACUCCUACGGGAGGCAGCAGUGGGGAAUAUUGCACAAUGGGCGCAAGCCUGAUGCAGCGACGCCGCGUGAGGGAUGACGGCCUUCGGGUUGUAAACCUCUUUCAGCAGGGAAGAAGCGCAAGUGACGGUACCUGCAGAAGAAGCGCCGGCUAACUACGUGCCAGCAGCCGCGGUAAUACGUAGGGCGCAAGCGUUGUCCGGAAUUAUUGGGCGUAAAGAGCUCGUAGGCGGUCUGUCGCGUCUGGUGUGAAAACCCGAGGCUCAACCUCGGGCUGGCAUCGGGUACGGGCAGACUAGAGUGCGGUAGGGGAGACUGGAAUUCCUGGUGUAGCGGUGGAAUGCGCAGAUAUCAGGAGGAACACCGAUGGCGAAGGCAGGUCUCUGGGCCGCAACUGACGCUGAGGAGCGAAAGCAUGGGGAGCGAACAGGAUUAGAUACCCUGGUAGUCCAUGCCGUAAACGUUGGGCACUAGGUGUGGGGCUCAUUCCACGAGCUCCGUGCCGCAGCUAACGCAUUAAGUGCCCCGCCUGGGGAGUACGGCCGCAAGGCUAAAACUC